AAAAGAAACCAACAGGGAUUGCCCUAGUAACGGCGAGUGAAGCGGCAACAGCUCAAAUUUGAAAUCUGGCCCCCUCGGGGCCCGAGUUGUAAUUUGUAGAGGGUGCUUUGGCGUUGGCUGUGGUCUAAGUUCCUUGGAACAGGACGUCACAGAGGGUGAGAAUCCCGUACGUGGCCGCCAGCCUCCGCCGUGUAAAGCCCCUUCGACGAGUCGAGUUGUUUG
rnacentral:rRNA from 1 species